ACGCUUCCUGAAAACAGAGAGCAGGCCUAGAUAAGGUUAUUAGUUAUUCAUGCCCAUUAUAUACUUUUUGCCUCGUGUAAAUAUGGAUCCUAAAUUUUAGCAAUGUAAAUAUUGUUGCAUGAAAUAUCUCAUCAAGUGUAUAGCAUAUAAGCAAUGCUGUUCCAGUCGCCUUUUGAGGGCAAUAAAUUGUUUGGUGGCAAUGCAAAUAUUACCAUUGAUGGAUUCUCAAUGAAUGCAUUGGUAACAUUCUCUGGUA
rnacentral:misc_RNA from 1 species